GCAUCCUUAGCUCAGCGGAAAGUAGCAUCUGCCUUCUAAGCAGAGGGUCACUGGUUCGAAUCCAGUAGGAUGUA
rnacentral:tRNA from 1 species